UGCACGCCCGAGCGUGUCCUCUCACAUAAUAAUUAUCUCACCCUUUGUGCAUCGCCGCGUGGGCACCCUUUGGGAUCAUCUCGGAGGGGGCUCGCGUUUUCACACAAACCCCCCCUUUUAAAAGUGUAGAAUGACCUCAUUUAUGCGCUAACCCGCAAUCAAUACAACUUUCAACAACGGAUCUCUUGGCUCUCGCAUCGAUGAAGAACGCAGCGAAAUGCGAUACGUAAUGUGAAUUGCAGAAUUCAGUGAAUCAUCGAAUCUUUGAACGCACCUUGCGCCCCUUGGUAUUCCGAGGGGCACACCCGUUUGAGUGUCGUGAAAACCUCAACCUCCUUGGUUUCUUCUGGAGACCAAAGCAGGCUUGGACUUUGGAGGCCUUUGCUGGCACCUCUCUCUUUUGAAGGUCAGCUCCUCUUAAAUGAAUUAGCAGGGUCCUCUUUGCUGAUCCUCGACGUGUGAUAAGAUGUUUCCAUGUCUUGGUUUCUGGCUCUGUCACUCUUGGGACCCGCUUCUAACCGUCUUGACCUUGCGUCGAGACAAUGUUCGAGCACGUCUCCCAUCUCGGGAAGCUCCCUCGACCCCACGAACCCUUGACCUCAAAUCGGGUGAGACUACCCGCUGAACUUAAGCAUAUCA
rnacentral:rRNA from 1 species